rnacentral:rRNA from 1 species
ACGGGACCCGCACAAGCGGUGGAUGAUGUGGAUUAAUUCGAUGCAACGCGAAAACCUUACCUACCCUUGACAUGUCCGGAAUCCCGAAGAGAUUUGGGAGUGCUCGCAAGAGAGCCGGAACACAGGUGCUGCAUGGCUGUCGUCAGCUCGUGUCGUGAGAUGUUGGGCUAAGUCCCGCAACGAGCGCAACCCUUGUCAUUAGUUGCCAUCAUUUGGUUGGGCACUCUAAUGAGACUGCCGGUGACAAACCGGAGGAAGGCGGGGAUGACGUCAAGUCCUCAUGGCCCUUAUGGGUAGGGCUUCACACGUCAUACAAUGGUCGGUACAGAGGGUUGCCAACCCGCGAGGGGGAGCUAAUCCCACAAAGCCGAUCGUAGUCCGGAUCGCAGUCUGCAACUCGACUGCGUGAAGUCGGAAUCGCUAGUAAUCGUGGAUCAGCAUGUCACGGUGAAUACGUUCCCGGGUCUU